AGCGCUACCAGCUCCAACUAGAAGCUUCCAUGCUGACUCUCCCUUCACAUCCUCGUGUUCUUGCAGAAACGCCAGCUUCUCCUCGAGCCCAGUAACCUGCAGCAGAGGGAAAGUGAGCUAAGAGGUGGAGAGAGAGCUCUGAGGCAACAUCUGAGGGCCUGGAUACAGCCAGACCUGCAUGCACAUUGUGAGCUUAGUUCUGGAAGGCAGAAGUCUGAAGCGGGUCAGCAGGACUUGUUCCUCCUGGAGGCUCAGCCCGACAACAGAACACGUACUCUUCUCAGGCUGAUACUGGCAUCUCCGGGAUAGACGACACAGCUAACAAAUCAAAUCCCAAUAGAUUUCAAAAGAUAAACAUCUCACAAACUAUC